CUCUCCGUCUCAAGAUGAAUUCUAUAUCUUGCUCUGGAAGAUGAGACCGAGGAAAGCAGGGCUGGCGUGAGGGGGACCUUGGUAACCCCUCCAUGGAGAGAGAUGUAGUCACAGACGAUUCUCUGCGCUACAACGGUGUCUUCGUGAAUGUUAGCAGUUUCAAUUUCUUUGUUCACCGAAAAGCCCCGCUCAACUGUUGCCUGCCCGUGUGAUAGAAGUAGAAGCUUCUGGAUAAAGGACCAAAGUUGUGGUUCAGGGUUGCUGUACAUAAAGGCUGGGUUCAGACAAGUUAAUUGUCUAACAAUCGGAAACUUCAAAGGGCUCCUCUCCUGAAUCUUCUGGACCAUUUUGGAUAGACACUCCAUGCAUUGGUUUUGAAAAUGUAGGAUGGAAAGUUCCUCUGAGGAUUUACUCCGCUGUUGGAGUUCCUAAGGAUGAAUAAGGACUAGCUGAAGUGAACUGUCCCUGAUUACAACACAACUGUUUACAACACAACUCUCCUUGCUCUUUCCCUUUAACCACCAAAUUGCAAUUUUGUGAAACGCCUACUUGUCGGCCAUGAUUAUUUCCAGAAUACCUUUAUGGCAGUCUCUGCACCAAUGCCGAUGUCCACUGCCUUUGGAUGCACCCUCGACUGCUUGUCAGUGACAUCAAGCCGUACCAAGUGCUGAGGUGUGACAUCAGUCAGUAGCUCUCGCUUGAUGAAUCGCCUCAGCAAAUUCUACAAAACAGGGAAAACAUAUCCGAGAAUGAAAAUGUCUUUGGGACACAGUAGCAUCAUUGUCACAAUACACUUGAGCUAUUUGAAAUUGAUUAUAUAGAUGUAGUCUGUGGUCACAUAUUGGCCCAAAUCAACCAGCAGUAGUCUUAUUGUAAUGAAAAGAGAUGAUGUUAAAUAAAAAGACAUAUAUUCACACAGAUUCACUUAAAAGAUUCAGCUUACCUUCAGUAAUUCAGCCAAGUCAUUGGCAAAGAAUGGAAGCACAGGUUCAUCCGUUUGAUACUUUGUCAAGAAGGGUGUCACACUUCGUGAAACUGCCAUGAAAAAAUGCAGCUUUGCCAAAAUAAGAGGGUCUUUGGUUGCCACCUCGAUGGUGUCAUAAGAAGACGUUCCAGGGUUUGGGAGCUUCUUGGUUGUAACAGCAUCAAC